CCCUGAGCCCGCGGUAGCGACAGCCCGCGCACGACGCCCGCCCCGGCCUGCAGGGCGAGCGGGAGACCGAGGAGCAGCCGACGCCUCGGCCCGGCCCAGCGGGGACCCGCCCAGGGGCCACUCCCCAAGGGAGGCAGCCAGUCACUCGCCCGCCCCGCCAGGCCCGCGCCUGAGGGGACGGACUCCCGCCCGCCCUCACACCGCGCCUCACGCCAGGCCCCCGGGGCUUCGGGUGUUCGGGACCCCAGAACAGGACCGGAAUUCCAAGUUGACCUAAGGGGUACUUGAUUGCUGGAUGGUGGGGACCCUGGGUGAACAGCAGAAGGAUGGGAGGGUAAAUCCUGCCUCUGGAAUGCAGAGUGAUGGAUGCUGUCCACCUCAAAAGACGUCAGAAGCUUCAAGGAAGAUGUCCUAGGGGGACUGUGCUGUGAAACAGACGAAGCAGUGAAGAAGAGUUCUUGCUAUGGAGUACCCAUGGACACUGUCGCCCCUGAUGUCCGGCUCUGCUGUGCGUGCUAGAGCUGGCAUCAUGCAGGCUCCUGUUCCUGGGCCCGCCUGACCACUUCUUCCUGUAGUUCAUCCAAUUCACUUCUAGAGGUGACCUCCCCAUCUGAGAUAGAAGCAAAGAAGAUAAAUUAGCUCGCCCU
rnacentral:lncRNA from 1 species